UGAGGAAUAUUGGGUCAAUGGGCGAGAGCCUGAACCAGCCAAGUCGCGUGAGGGGGGAAGGUCCUACGGAUUGUAAACCUCUUUUGCCGGGGAGCAAAGGGGCCAUUGAUGGCAGGAUGAGCGUACCCGGAGAAAAAAGCAUCGGCUAACUCCGUGCCAGCAGCCGCGGUAAUACGGAGGAUGCGAGCGUUAUCCGGAUUUAUUGGGUUUAAAGGGUGCGCAGGCGGACUCGUCAAGUCAGCGGUAAAAAUUCGGGGCUCAACCCCGUCCGGCCGUUGAAACUGAGAGACUGGAGUGCGACAGAGGAAGGCGGAAUGCGAGGUGUAGCGGUGAAAUGCAUAGAUAUCGCGCAGAACUCCGAUUGCGAAGGCAGCCUUCCAUGUCGUGACUGACGCUGAGGCACGAAAGCGUGGGGAUCGAACAGGAUUAGAUACCCUGGUAGU
rnacentral:rRNA from 1 species